UUCCAGGUUGGGUGAGGCGGACGUUAGCCAUUGCCCUCAGCUUCCAUUUAUGGGAGUCACACUCAAUGUUUAGAAUUAAGCUUUUGCCUGCAUCCCCAGCAGCGAUCAGCAAUAUAAUUCGGCCAUGAAGCUCAUUCUGCAGCUACCAUGUCUCUCCUUGAUUAUGAGCAUGGCUUUAGGCUCUCAGCUUGUUCCAGAAGAAGUGGAAGCUUUGAGAGAGAUAGGAAAGACGCUAGAUCUCUAUCACAGUGGAAGCUUUGAGCAGUGUAAGUAACCAAAGAAAGUAACGGGUGAAGAGGCUUGCAUCAAGGGGAGAGAGCAACCUUAGAGAUGAUGACUUAGGUGAAAUAGGCCUAGCAGAUCUCUAUCUCAAUCGUGUAACGUGUUGCUUUUGUUCUGUUUUGUUAUUUUCGAGAAAAUUAAUUAUCUAGGCCGUGUUUGCUUUGAUGAAAUCUGAGCUUGGGAAAAGAAAAUGAAGAAGAGGAUAGAAAAACUUUUCUAGUUUGAUUGGGAGGAACUUGGCAACCGAAAUUCAACAAAGAGAGUGAAAAUAAAAUUCCAAGACUUCGUCGAUAUGUUAGGAGCUCUCAGCCUCUCAUCCUUCGUCAAACGCAAGUUUCGGAUCUUGCUUAAAGAUGUGAUACUCCCCUUUUGUUGCAGUGAGUUUGAAGACGCAACUGGUGUCCCUUCGCCGACGACUUCUCCAUCACCUUCGUCCCUCCACCAAGGCCUUACCGUCAAUACCUUCCAGAUCUACAAACAUUGAAGCUGCGGGUUUGGUUGUUUCUGGGUUGAGAUGGAGAGGGCAGCAUGGUGUGAGAAUAGGAACGGAUAUUAUUGUCUUUUUAAAAAAAUUUCCACCCAAACUUUCCGUGAUGUGCUAAUGUAUCUAUGACAACCUCACAAUAUAAUUAGCUUUUUUGGAAUAAAAAAAACCAUAAAUUUUAUUAAAUCUAUUUUUUUUCAUUUACCCUUGAUAAUAAAAGUACAAACAUUACGUAGAAUAUUAGAACCCAUUUGAUUUUUCCUUUUAAAAAUAAAAAAAUAAAAAAUUA